AGAGGAGAUGCUGAACUGAAUUUCUAUAAGUAUGGUUUGAUUCCCACUGCACUGAUCUAGCUAGACUUUGAUGAUCUGCCUUUUUUCCUUACAGCACUGGCAAACACAUAAUGAGAGGAGUCAUAGCUGAAAUAUGCUGAUUCAGAUGAUUGUUGUUUUGCUUCAUAGGCAAGUCUGGGUUUUGGAGUGCCUAGGCCUACCUUUGUGGUUCCUAGAAAAUGAAACAAAGGUCAUAGACAUGGACUUCUUCAUAUAAGAAGAAUCAUUUGCCAGUGAAAGCUAGUUUGAUUUCUGUGUUGCUGCAGAGAACAAAGGGAUUGCACAAUUCAGGAGCUUAUGAAGCUUUGAAGCUGGCUCUUCAAGGUGUUAUUCACUACCGAGGAAAAAGAGAGAAUCCAGACGGAGGCCCGGAAGUUAGUUCCGGAAGUCGACGGGCAGCCCACCACCAAC